UGUCUCGGUCGUGGGUUUGUUAUGCCAGUUGUGCGUCAUUCUAAGCAGUUCUGUACAUUUAUACUGGAUAUUAACUGGAGUCAUUUAGCUGUGCUGAUGCCGUUUGCCGUGUGUUUUACAUCCGUGCUUCGUGACAUCGGCUGUAUCGCGUGUUUUCGCUUUCGCCUGCGUUCGCGCCUUCGUUGUUCUCGGUGCGUCUUUGUACGUCGCACGUUCGGAUAACACUUUUUGCGAUGUCUGGGCACCCUUCUUGUCCAUUGGCGUUAGCUGGAUGACGGGACCUCAUUAUGAUCAGUGUAUUGCUUGCCUAUGUCUACAAGAACCUUCACGCGUGGCCUGUGACAGCAAGCUAUUGUGGGCAGCCAGUGCUGUCCUACGAAGGUUGGCCUGCUCUGGCAGUGGCGGCAAUCAUCUUCAAGAUUCAUGCAUGAUCACCUUUGCGGCUAUCUGUCACUCUGGUUA